CUUCGGAAAUGAGAGAGCGGCGUACGGGUGCGGAACACGUGUGCAACCUGCCUUUAUCUGGGGAUAGCCUUUCGAAAGGAAGAUUAAUACUACCAUAAUAUAUUGAACGGCAUCGUUUAAUAUUGAAAGCUCCGGCGGAUAGAGAUGGGCACGCGCAAGAUUAGCUAGUUGGUGAGGUAACGGCUCACCAAGGCAAUGAUCUUUAGGGGCCUGAGAGGGUGAUCCCCCACACUGGUACUGAGACACGGACCAGACUCCUACGGGAGGCAGCAGUGAGGAAUAUUGGUCAAUGGGUGCAAGCCUGAACCAGCCAUCCCGCGUGAAGGUACGACUGCCCCUAUGGGUUGUAAACUUCUUUUGUAUAGGGAUAAACCUUUCCACGUGUGGAAAGCUGAAGGUACUAUACGAAUAAGCACCGGCUAACUCCGUG
rnacentral:rRNA from 1 species